CCCCUCAAGAUGAGAUUUCCCACAGUUUAACUGGUAAGAUCCCUGAAAGAUGAUCAGGUUGAUAGGUCCGGGGUGGAAGCGCGGUGACGCGUGCAGCUGACGGAUACUAAUCGAUCGAGGACUUAACCAA
rnacentral:rRNA from 1 species